rnacentral:rRNA from 1 species
UGGGGAAUCUUGCGCAAUGGGCGAAAGCCUGACGCAGCAACGCCGCGUGCGGGAAGAAGGCCUUCGGGUUGUAAACCGCUGUCAGGAGGGACGAAGCCACUCGGGUGAAUAGCCCAGAGGGUGACGGUACCUCCAGAGGAAGCCCCGGCUAACUACGUGCCAGCAGCCGCGGUAAUACGUAGGGGGCGAGCGUUGUCCGGAAUCAUUGGGCGUAAAGCGCGUGUAGGCGGCUUGCCAAGUCCGGUGUGAAAUCUCGGGGCUCAACCACGAAACUGCACUGGAAACUGGCUUGCUAGAGUCCGGAAGAGGAGAUUGGAAUUCCUGGUGUAGCGGUGAAAUGCGCAGAUAUCAGGAAGAACACCCGUGGCGAAGGCGGAUCUCUGGGACGGUACUGACGCUGAGACGCGAAAGCGUGGGGAGCGAACAG